AUGACGAGACUGACUGCAAGCCAUGAUGAACAGGUCCACCUGCCAACUAAGCCUUGCUAGCUUGCACGUACCAACUCCCUCCACACACGCACACGCACACGCACACACACUUCAGGAAGGCUUACACAUACAUGCCUUGUAAGAAGUGGAGCAGCGGCCACCGUCUGUCUGUCUGGGAAGUCACUUAACACAGCAUAUGGUCUAAGAGGUCGGAGGUCAAAGGCUGCUCAGCAGAAUCCUAUGGUGACCGGGCCGCUCAGGUCGACUGAGGACUAAGGAAGUGCUGCCGGCCGUGUCCAUUCACACACCUACUAAUCACCAACCGGAAAAAUAAUGAUUUUUAUCCCCUCUGCGAGCUGUGACGAUAAUGUGGAUGUCAACAGGUUCAUCCACGUAACACGGUCAACGGCAGAAAAAGUUCAGAACAUGAGGGCAGGUGGUUUGCAGGUGAGCAUUUUAGUGCCGAACUUAACUGGUGCGAGCACCGGCACCUUUCUGUUGGGCCUGACAACAGUAUGGGUCAGUAGGCCUCAAGGCCCUGGGUCGGGUUUCUAUGGCCCAGUUCUCACCAGAACCAUGUUGGACCAGGUGUGACCUGUGUGGCCAGUGGAGGUUGCCAGACGUGAUCUGCAUGGCCAGUGGAGGUUGCCAGACGUGAUCUGCAUGGCCAGUGGAGGUUGCCAGGUGUGAGUGAGCUGUGUGGCCAGUGGAGGUUGCCAGAUGUGACCUGCAUGGCCAGUGGAGGUUGUGAAGGUCCAUUUGUGCCAGAAGGUCUUUUUUUGCCAUCACGGUAAUGAUUCCACUUAAAAUCUCUCUCUCUCUCACACGCACACACACACACCCUUACCCCACUGGGAAGCAUGCAUUUGAGAUUGGAAUAUUGUACGAAGCAAAAGGUAUUAUUUUAUAGUCUGAUCAGCAGCAUCGUUUUCAAGCCUGUACAGACAGUAGGCUACCCACGGGGACCCCGGUUCGAGUCCGGCCGGGGUCAUUUCCCGAUCCUCCCCCGUCUCUCUGUCCCACUCGCUUCCUGUCACCAUCUUCGACUGUCCUGCCAGAUAAAGGCAUAAAAGCCCCUAAAAAAUACAUUUAAAAAAAAAAGAAAAUGUAAUUUUCCAAUAUGGAAUAUACGACUACCGAUACCAAGAAAUUGAUGGUGGUUGUGUAUAUUCAUCUGCAUUUCACACCUGUGAAAAUGGGCAGCAGCAUUAAUUCUGGAAAUUAACUAUUUAAACAAUUCCACAGUCCACCUUUAAGAUCCACCAAACGCACACACUGGUAACUAUGAAAACAGCUGCUUAGUUUCAAGAGAGUUGGGCAACAGCAAUAAAAUUAAAAACAGGAACACAACACCAUGACAACCCAUCUCAUAAGAACACAACACCAUGACAACCAAACUCAUAAAAACCCAAACUGCCCGCUGGAAGUCAUAGUCCAGUCCAACACGGAUCAUGGAAGAUUGCAGUACGCAAACCUGUGUGUGUGUGUGUGUGUGUGUGUGUGUGUGUGUGUUUGGAGUACGCAAACCGGUUAAUUCUGCAGUCGCUGAUCUGGUCGGUAGUGGAGGAGAAUGUGGCGGUGGCUGUGGCUGAGUGUGUGUGUGUGUGUGUGUGUGUGUGUGUGUGUGUGUGUGUGUGUGUGUGUGUGUGUGUGUGUGUGUGUGUGUGUGUGUGUGUGUGUGUGUGUGUGCGCGUGUGCGGCGUGGUAAUAAAGGGACUUUUGUCCGGUGUUUCUUCAUUGCAUCAGAAGACUUCACGCACGCACGCACGCACAUGGAGGAUUUAGCACCAUAGGAAAGGAGAGAUGUGGCAGAGACUGUCUGAAUAUAAGGAGACGGAACACUUCAAAAAUCGUCCAUAGGAAUGAAUGGGGGCAGUUCGUCACGCUAAUAUGAGUGCAAUACGAGUAUAAGAAAAUAAGUCCUUUCAUUCGGCGGCCAUCUUGGCUACGUCUCAGGGUCGCAAUUUGGGUCGCAAUUUCAGACUAGUCAGACCAGGUCAGUCGAGGCAACGAGAUGAUUGGAUAAAUGACAGCGCAGCUCAGCAAGCGAUUGGCUCUUGAUGUCGGCCAGGUGGGAUAUAUGCAAGCACGCGCCAUAUUAGCGUAACAAACUGCCCCCGUUCAUUCCUAUGGACGCUUUCUGAAGUGUUCCGUCUCCUUAUAUUCAGACAGUCUCUGAUAAUCGUCCUCACACGAGGAAGACCAAAUGGAUUGCGAAGAGCAGAGGAUUCCUGAAGACACAAGCCACCAAUCAGAAGAGCCAAGCAGAGUUCUCAGCCAAUAAGAGCAGCCAAGCCGAUUUCUCCACCAAUGAGAAGAGCCAGGUCGAUUUCUCCACCAAUCAGAAAGGACCUCAAAACAUACUAUGCUUAUGAGGUCACCUUGGAAACGUCUUAAAGAGGGUUACCACUGC